AAGAACUGCACUUCUGACAUACACUUUCCUGUUUCUUGCCUGCAGGUGCUCAACAGGAAGUCUUAUUUUCAGUCUUCAAAGUCGAGCUGACAGCUAUGAAACUCAUUCUGUGGUGGAUUUUUUGCUUUAGUUUAGGUUUUGUCGCUGAUUGCCAAGAGAAUCGUUAUGGAUUGAAAGGAAGCUCAAUCCGACUGAGCAUCAAUCCCAGAAAUCAGUCACAUCGGCUAACUAAAGUUGGAUGGCACCGAUUCAACAGGAAAGAGAUGCUUACAGACUCAGACGAAGUUUCCCCUCAUUUUAAGAAAAGAAUGAGCUUAAACAUUUCAGACUGGUCUUUGACCAUACACAACCUUGAGGAAAACGACAGCGGACUUUAUGAGGCCCUUGAGAAGUGGGAGCAAGAAACUCUUGCUGCAUUCACACUUUCAGUAGAGAACACUGUCUCUGAGCCUGUAAUCAAAGUGAGUCAAUACGACUUCAAUUCAUCUGCUGGACUGUGUCAGGCCACAGUAAACUGUUCGGUUGAUGGCAGCUGGGCCGUGUUUGACUGCGACCAAGGUGUCUGUGCAAAGACACAAGCCUCUCCAUCCUCCAUUAACAUCACUGUGAAUGCAACGGACAACAUCCAGUGCCACGUCAGCAACCACGUGAGCAAGAAUCAUUCUCAGGCUUCCGAAGUUAUGUGCCAUGAAAAGCUGCAAAGUGAUUCGCACUCUCCACCGUCACUCAGCGCUUCGAACAUUGUCACCAUUGGUGUUGGUGUUUUAUUGGUUUUGUUUAUGGGUUUCAUUGUAGUAUUUGUCAAGAGAAGAAAGUGUUCAAAAGUUCAUCCGCAGUCCAGUCAUGUUGUGAUUCAACAGCAUCAUGAGACAAUCUACAGCACAGUGGAAAAGCCGGCCGCAUCCCAGACAUCUCCAGGAAACAACUCCAUCAGCAACAAAGUAGAAACCAUCUAUGAUACUCCAUCACGACAUACCAAGGCUUGUCAAGUAGACAGUGUGGAGGUGAUGAGAGACAAUCAGGAGCAACAGCAAUCUGGACCGGACAGAACUAUUAAAGUAAAAGCUACAGUUCACCAGGCAGCAGAACCCGAUUCAGAACCAAUAAACACAGUUUACUGCAAACUGGGAGAGAUAUGACACAAACGCACACAUACUGUACAUGCCUGAGAUUUCACUUCAGUGGAGAUUUAAGAUUUUUGUGAGAAAAAAAAAUAUUUAAUGUAAAUUUUGUGUUUUUUACUAGUGAAUAGAUGGUUUUGAGGAUCAUUGAUGGAUGCAAUAUAUGUUGUAUGCUGCCUCCUAUUUUGUAAAAACAGCAUAUGCAAUACACUCAAAAAGCAGGUUUUCAAAGCAGUGCAGUGGAAGAAUCAUUUUUGGUUCCCCAAAGAACUUUUAAACUCUUAAAAAAAAAAUCUUAGCGUGACGAAUAUUUUAAUAAUAUGAAGAACUGUUAAAGAACCUUUUGUGGAAUGGAAAUAUUCUUCAUGGAACCAUCAAUGGCAAUGAAGAAUCUUUAUUUUUAAAAGUGUAAUGAUAUACAUUUCAUACAGUCCUAUGUUGUUGUCCUGUGUAGCAUGUUUAAUUCAGCAAGUAGCAUCAAGCUGAGUUGUCAUCUCUGAAAAAAAGUGUCAUUUUGCAUUUUUAAUCCCAUUUUUUUUUUAAAAAUGUCAUUUUGAAGGUCAAACUGAUUUUAAAAAUUGAUGAAAAUUUGGUGUUAAAAAUCACAGCACAUAUAGUCUCUAGUUCCUUCCUUACACUGGAAAUAAAAAAAGUCAAGUUGAGUGCA
ensembl:lncRNA